UUUCUUUUUUUUUUUUUAAUAAAAAAAAUUAGUUCUCUAAUGGUCCCGGUGGAUUCAUAAAGACCCACGUACAUUUGAUGGGAUAUAUUUGAUAAUAGUUGCAUUUAUAUUUGGUGAUAUAUUUGAAAACAAGAAACAAAAUAAUUUGUCUUGUAUUUGAUGUAUUUAGAACAAGAUAAAUUAGUCAAACUAUCUUACAUUAAGGGGUGCAAUUUGCAUUCUAUUAAUUUAUAUUUGCACUCAACUAUUUAAUUCUAAAUAUUACAUUAUGAUAUGUGUGUUUCAAAUCAAAAUAUUUUGAAGAAAAAGAAAAAAAAUGAAGCGAAGGAAAAGAAGAUCAAAUGGCAUUGUUCAUUAUUUAUUUUAUCAUGUUAGUGGGUUUAGGUGAAUGAUUUUUUUAACCCAUUGUUGAUGUGAGUGAGUAAGGAGGGAAGA
rnacentral:misc_RNA from 1 species